rnacentral:tRNA from 1 species
GCCCGGAUGGCCGAGUGGUAGGCGGAGGUCUGCAAAACCUUUUACGGCGGUUCGAGCCCGCCUCCGGGGU